CCUACGGGAGGCAGCAGUGAGGAAUAUUGGUCAAUGGACGCAAGUCUGAACCAGCCAUGCCGCGUGCAGGAAGACGGUCCUAUGGAUUGUAAACUGCUUUUGUACGGGAAGAAACACUCCUACGUGUAGGAGCCUGACGGUACCGUAAGAAUAAGGAUCGGCUAACUCCGUGCCAGCAGCCGCGGUAAUACGGAGGAUCCAAGCGUUAUCCGGAAUCAUUGGGUUUAAAGGGUCCGUAGGCGGUUUAAUAAGUCAGUGGUGCAAUCUGGUCGCUCAACGAUCAAACUGCCAUUGAUACUGUUAGACUUGAAUUACUGUGAAGUAACUAGAAUAUGUAGUGUAGCGGUGAAAUGCUUAGAUAUUACAUGGAAUACCAAUUGCGAAGGCAGGUUACUAACAGUUGAUUGACGCUGAUGGACGAAAGCGUGGGGAGCGAACAGGAUUAGAUACCCUGGUAGUCCACGCCGUAAACGAUGGAUACUAGUUGUUUGGAUUUAUNUGUAGUAGUACUAAGAGAAGUAGAUAAGUAAUACCACCGUACGGGAGGUACGAACGACGAAGUUAGUAAACGUACUAAUAAGAAGUUAGUACGGACGUAGAGACGUAGACGACGGACGACGACGAGGGAGGAGG
rnacentral:rRNA from 1 species